ACCACAUCUUCACACAGCAUCACUCUCUCUGACCUGCAAGGUGGUACUCAGUACUCUGUCACUGUCUGCACUGUGCUGGAAAAUGGAAAGCAAAGUGAACUGGUGUCAACAACCCUCACCACAGUACUGCCUGCUCCAGACCAGAUUAAUGUUGACUCAGUGGACACCACAUCAGCUGCUAUUAGAUGGAGACAGCCACCAGGAUUGGACCAAACCCAACAUCAUUACCAGAUCUCCUACCGCUGUCCAGGGACAGAACCACACAUCACUACCACAUCUUCACACAGUAUUACUCUCUCUGACCUGAAACCUGCUACUAAUUACUCAGUCACUGUCUGCACUGUGCUGGAAAAUGGAAGGCAAAGUCAACUGGUGUUAACAACCCUCAUCACAGUACUUCCUGCUCCAGACCAGCUGACUGUUGACUCAGUGG